rnacentral:misc_RNA from 1 species
UUGUCUUGUCACCGUCCAGCUUUCCAG